rnacentral:tRNA from 1 species
UGCCCCUUGAUGUAACGGCAACAUGCGAGGCUCUGAACCUCGUCUUCUUGGUUCGAAUCCAGGGGGGGCAG